rnacentral:rRNA from 1 species
UACGUAGGGCGCGAGCGUUGUCCGGAUUUAUUGGGCGUAAAGAGCUCGUAGGCGGCUUGUCGCGUCGACCGUGAAAACUUGGGGCUCAACCCCAAGCCUGCGGUCGAUACGGGCAGGCUAGAGUUCGGUAGGGGAGACUGGAAUUCCUGGUGUAGCGGUGAAAUGCGCAGAUAUCAGGAGGAACACCGGUGGCGAAGGCGGUUCUCUGGGACGUUACUGACGCUGAGACGCGAAAGCGUGGGGAGCAAACAGG